rnacentral:misc_RNA from 1 species
GAUGAAGAACGUAGCGAAAUGCGAUAAGUAAUGUGAAUUGCAGAAUUCAGUGAAUCAUCGAAUCUUUGAACGCACCUUGCGCCCUUGGGACAUUCCGAAGGGCAUGCCUGUUUGAGUAUCAUGAACACCUCAACUCUCAUGGCUUGUCUGUGAUGAGCUUGGACUUUGGGGGUCUUGCUGGCCUGUGGUCGGCUCCUCUCAAAUGGAUCAGCUUGCCAGUGUUUGGUGGCAUCACAGGUGUGAUAACUAUCUACGCUUGUGGUUUUCCACCAGGUAACCUUCAGCAAUGGGGGUUCGCUGGGGCUCAUAAAUGUCUCUCCUCAGUGAGGACAGCUCUUUGAACGUUUGAUCUCAAAUCAGGUAGGACUACCCGCUGAACUUAAGCAUAUCAAUAAGCGGAGGA